CGCUGGACUAUGCACAAGUCUCCUGGAAUGGAGCGUCAUAGAGGGUGAGAAUCCCGUCUUUGGCAUAGAUUACCAGGGCUUCUGUGAUGCGCUCUCAAAGAGUCGAGUUGUUUGGGAAUGCAGCUCAAAAUGGGUGGUGAACUCCAUCUAAAGCUAAAUAUUGGCGAGAGACCGAUAGCGAACAAGUACCGUGAGGGAAAGAUGAAAAGCACUUUGGAAAGAGAGUGAAACAGUACGUGAAAUUGUUGAAAGGGAAACGCUUAAAGUCAGUCGCAUCACCUGAGACUCAGCCUUGCCUUGGCUUGGUGUACUUCUCAGCUGAUGGGUCAACAUCAAUUUUGAUCCUUAGAUAAUGGCAAGGGAAAUGUGGCACCUUUUACAGGUGUGUUAUAGUCCUCUGUCGGAUGUGAGGGUUGGGAUUGAGGAACUCAGCAUGCACCUUUGGUGUCGGGGCUAUUAGCCUACGUUACAUGCUUAGGAUGUUGGCAUAAUGGCUUUAAACGACCCGUCUUGAAACACGGACCAAGGAGUCUAACAUACCCGCGAGUGUUUGGGUGGAAAACCCAUGUGCGUAAUGAAAGUAAAAGUUGGGACCCUCUCUCAUAGGAGGGCACCGACGCCCGGACCAGACCUUCUGUGACGGCUCUGCGGUAGAGCGUGUAUGUUGGGACCCSAAAGAUGGUGAACUAUGCCUGAAUAGGGKGAAGUCARAGGAAACUCUGGUGGAGGCUCGUAGCGAUUCUGACGUGCAAAUCGAUCGUCAAAUUUGG
rnacentral:rRNA from 1 species